CUACUUUGGAAAACGAGUUGGAGGCAAUUAACAGUAAACUUUGAGAAGUUAAAAAAUCCAUAAAUUGCAUACACUAAAACCUGACAUAAGAGCUUAGGCCCUCAAUUCUGUGAUGUCCCAGCGACAAGCUGUGUGUAAAAGUGUCUUUUUAAAUAAAGCACCCCUGAGGUAAUUUCAUCUUUUAAAUUUUGUCCCAACGACAAGUUGUGUGUGUAUGUGUGUGUUUUUACAGAAAGCACCCCUGGGGAAAUUUCACCUUGUAGACUUCGUCCUAUUAGGAAGGCAUGAUUGGAACUAAAAUAUAUAUAUAUAGGGAACUUUAAAAACAUUCUCCACUGGCCUGUCUCCUUAUAUUGCUCAAACGCUCCACUCUACACACCUCUUAACCUCAACUGCCCACGCCAAGGAAACUUAAAGAAAAACUAGGAACGCAAAAGACCUGCUGAACACAUGUCAACCCCUUAACCACCGAGUCUCCACUCCCUUUCCCAAGGUUCCCAAGCUUCGCUCCUUGGAAAACAAAUCCGUUUCCAUUUCAGUUGAAAACCACACUGGGAGGGUAAUUUCCCUCGACUUGUACCGUGGCCUUCACCCCCGUCCGAUGGGAAAAAAAAAAAAUAAAGCCCAGGUUCCACCCCAAACUUAGGGACAAUAACUUUGUGAAUUCAAGUUGUUUUUUGUUUUUUUUUUUAAGCGCCUGGAAGGGGGAGGGAUGGGGUCGAAGGCAAUCGAUAGUUCUUUCGGGAGAAUCAAAGAAGUUAGCCGCACAAUGUGCUCAGGGGGAGAAGGCGUCAAGACCCCAGGGUGGAGAGUGCGGGCGGAGCGUGCGACGGAGUGUGGGAGCGAGAGGAAGCAACAGCCCGAGAGGGAGGCCGCGCACGCGCGCACCAGGCCGGCCUGCGUCGCGCCCUUCAAAGAUGGAGGGGGCGCCUCCCGCCCGCCCGCACGGCGCCGUGGCGCGGGGGGGGAGCGGGACCCGCGGCCGAGGGACGGGACGCCGGUUCGAAUCCCGCCUCCGUCCUGGAAGAGGGGGAUGACGAUAAUAAUAACAAUAAUAAAGCA
rnacentral:lncRNA from 1 species